rnacentral:misc_RNA from 1 species
GUUCCCCGGUCAGAGAUCCCUGGUGAAGAGACUUCAGUCACGCAGCCAUUUCCAACACAGUUACCUGCACUUGGAUUGCAGAAACUAACUGAAGAUGAUGCCUGGGGGCCAACACCCGAGAUGACUCAAAAAGCAAAAGACCGGAUCCGUCA